rnacentral:rRNA from 1 species
AGAGUUGAUUAUGGCUCAGAACGAACGCUGGCGGCAGGCCUAACACAUGCAAGUCGAACGCCCCGCAAGGGGAGUGGCAGACGGGUGAGUAACACGUGGGAACCUUCCCUAUAGUACGGAAUAGCCCAGGGAAACUUGGAGUAAUACCGUAUACGCCCGAGAGGGGAAAGAUUUAUCGCUAUAGGAUGGGCCCGCGUAGGAUUAGCUAGUUGGUGAGGUAACGGCUCACCAAGGCGACGAUCCUUAGCUGGUUUGAGAGAACGACCAGCCACACUGGGACUGAGACACGGCCCAGACUCCUACGGGAGGCAGCAGUGGGGAAUAUUGGACAAUGGGCGCAAGCCUGAAUCCAGCCAUGCCGCGUGAGUGAUGAAGGCCUUAGGGUUGUAAAGCUCUUUUGGCGGGGACGAUAAUGACGGUACCCGCAGAAUAAGUCCCGGCUAACUUCGUGCCAGCCGCGGC